CGCCCUGCCGGAGACAGCGGCGAGAGGCGGCCCCGGGAGCAGCGAGAGGAGGGACAGAGCGUCCCCCGCCCGCCCCACGGCGCGCGGCCAUGGCGGCCCGCGGGCCGGGGCCGCUGCCGAACCGUGUUCACAAGUGCCGCAUCUACACGGAACGGUUUGGUUUUGUUUGCCACCCAAACAUCGUUGAGUUUUGGGAUUGCUCCAUUUACAGCGGGUUUAUCGAUACUCCUCAGUGACAUGCUGCAUCAGGAAUCAGAACUUUCAGGUCCAUGAAAGCUGUUGUCACUGAUGAGCUCUUCUGAGACCUACAGCUCAGAGCUGGAGCCUGGGCAGGGUAGGAACAGGAAGCCACUAUCUGUCCAUGCACCAGGAUUUACAGACACAAGCUGCUUUACAAGAAAAUCUGCAACAGAUAAGUAUUUUCCCUUGCUGCAAAGAACGUCCAAGCCUCAUUUUCAGUGACACACUACAGGAAAUGAAGAUUAUAUUUGAUUUAUAGUAGUCUCAGAGGAACAGAAGUGUUUCUUUUGCAUUUACCAGCACAUACAAGCCCUCUUUUUCAAGAUGCUACUUAUGGCAAUAAAGAAGCAAUAAGAAAAGCCUACAAAUAUUCUCCAGUAUAAGAGACAUUUUGCAUCUUUCCAGCAAUAACAGUCACCCUUUCCUCUUACUGGAAACAAAAUUCCCUUUAGGAAGGAAGUCAGGAUUGACCAAGCAGAUGUGCGUUAUUCCCGAAAGCAGAGCUUGCCCCAGAUGUGGUGGGGCUGCACUGCUGAGAAGAGGUGUCCCAAACCCCCCACAUCUUCUCAGCAAUGCACAAAUCUUCAGACAAGAGAUAAAUGUAGUGUGUUUCCCAUCACUAACCCUGAAUAGUUUUCAGUAACUUCAUGGUCAUGUGUUUACUAAUUACUUUCAACAUCUGCAAUGUAUAUUUAAAACAAUGGCAUUUGUCCUGGCUGACGCUGCUCUUUACAAAGUGACAUCUCAUCUGAUUUCCCAAGAAUUACAUGGGAAAGAGAUCUACCAGGGUCCUGGUACACCACAAUCUGUGGAAGGAGGCUAACUCUGGAAAAGGACAAAAUUAAACUAUAGUUCUCCUGAAGGAAACAUGAUGUAGAAUGGACCAUUAGGCAUGAAACAAUGUGGAUUUCCUAUAGCUUCCCCCCAUCCUGCCUAUCCAAGCUUUAAUAUGUUAUGUUCUCAAGAUCUGUCCAUAGCAUUAAAGAGAACUAUUUAAAGUGGCAUGGCCUAAGCACAUAUUCAGUGAGAUCUUCUGAUGAGUGGGAUAAUCAAACUCAUCUACAUGACAUUUUAAACUUUGGGAAAGGGCCUCCAUUGCCCAUAUUUACUGCCCUGGAACACCAUUAACAUGGGGUUACGGCUGUCUAGUGACACCACAGUGUUCUCUGCAAAGCUAAAUCCAGAAAAGAAGGUGCUGAAGGGUUGAGUGCUCAGCAGCUCACCAGUGCAGCCCAGCUGGUCCUGACUGAGCUGACUGGAAAUGUUCUCUGCAGGGCAUGCUUUAACAGAGAGACAUGAAAAUCAAUUCCAACACUGGGAAGUUGUGAAUCCUGCUCCAGAAGUUUAUGUGCAUAGAAAUUCAAGAGGGGGGAUGUGGAACUUAGUUCUAAUGAUGGUUUACCACUAUUGUUUUCCUCAUUCAAUGAGGAAAGUACCUGUAACACUGUCUCAGCAUUCCCACCAUGUGUAGUCCUGGCUGCACCAGGGCAGAGUGUGUGUGGAAAGAGUAGAGCCUGAUACAGGGCUAGAGCCACUGAGUCUGGAAAGGAAUCUGCAGCAGCAAAUAAUGAAGGCUGGAAGCACAUUUAUAACUUCUUUCAGUGUUUUUCCAGCUACAUAUAUCCAUUUCCUUCCUUUCUUUUACCUGAGUUUAGUCACAUCACCACUGGGAGGGAACAGGGCAUCCAUUUCUCAAUCCUGAGGGCCAGCAGCAAUGCUUGAACUAAAAAAAGUGUUGGAUUGUGCAUCAUUAGCAUCAGCCACUGAGAACACUAAUUGUUCUUGCAAAAUUCUGGUCUGAUUUUGUUUUUGCUCAAAAGAUGAUCUAAGAGAAGAAGUGGCAAUUUCAUGUUAACCACUUCAGCUCGUUUCUGAAAUAACUGAUCCUGAAAUAAAUCCUGUGGUGAAAUUGA